rnacentral:lncRNA from 1 species
UUGAAGUAAGCAUGUUGGAAAGGCCUAUUUAUAAGGACUUUGGGAAUUAAGUUAGAACAUUAGGUUCAAGAAGUGAGCCAAAGGAGAUAAUUUAAUUAUGAAAUAAGAUAUCAUCCAGAUUUUAAAAAUUCUAUCUUUUAAUUUAAAUCUUUUUAUUUAGUUUUAUGCUUUUUUUAAGUCGACCCAAUGAAUAAUACAUAAAAUUUC